GGAAAGAUGGCCGAGUUGGUCUAAGGCGUCAGGUUAAGGUCCUGAUCUCUUCGGAGGCGUGGGUUCGAAUCCCACUCUUUUCA
rfam:Parasitella parasitica strain CBS 412.66 genome assembly, contig: contig_21858